rnacentral:lncRNA from 1 species
CUCAUCAAGAAGUGGAAUGGAAGAGUGAUAUCCAAAGCCUUAAGGUCAGCCUUUGUUUAAGCCUUAGGCUUGUUAAAAAAUUGGUGGGUCUGUCAGAGAGGUGAUGUACUGUUUCAUCAGCAUUACCUGCAGCCGCUGAAUCCAUAAUAUGCAGGUUUACUUUGAAACAAGAAGAAGAAAAGAGGCUCAGAGCAGAAACACUAUAUGAAAAAAUAAGAGAAAAAUUCAGUAGAAAAGAAGAGCAAUAUUGUGAAGAGAUGGAAGAGAAACAGCAACUUGAGUUACAAUCCAGGAAUUUAGAAAUGGAGUUAGUAACACUGAGAAAGCUCCUCAAACAGGUUGAAGAUAGCAUGAUGAAACACAGAGACAACUCUCUCAGGAAAAGAGUGCCAGAGCCCUGCAAGAAGGCAUUUUGAACAACCACCUAUGGAGACAAAAGGAGCUAGAAGAGACAAGAAGAGCUAUAGCAAAAAAGUUCAGAUGUAAGCAGAAUUUUUUCUAAUUAAUUAAAUUACCCAUGUUUGUUAUAAAGUUUUAUUAUAACUUAGAUAUUUUUUCUGCUUCUUGAUGGAUUAUUUACAGUUUACCAGUGUAAUUUUACUGUACAAAUACCUCUUCCUUUUACCCUUUUGUCUUUAAAAGUUCUGGAAAGCAAUAUCAGUGCUGUAUGUAAUUACACUGCAGGUACAAGUAAAAAGCUAAAAGAAAACACUCUCUACACCAUUUUUUAAACUGUCUUGUUUUUAUUUCCU